rnacentral:rRNA from 1 species
UUAACAUGGAGAGUUUGAUCUUGGCUCAGGAUGAACGCUGGCGGUAUGCUUAACACAUGCAAGUCGAACGGUCUCUUAGGAGAUAGUGGCGG